rnacentral:sRNA from 1 species
GGAAAAUAUUGAUGAAAUUAUUUUACAACUACAGAAAUUAACUGGCCAGCAAGGUGAAGAGCCCAGCUUGGUGUCCCCAAGUACUUCUUGCGGCUCAUUGACUGAAAGACUACUGAGACAAAAUGCUGAGCUGACAGGGCAUAUCAGUCAACUGACUGAAGAGAAGAAUGACUUAAGGAACAUGGUUAUGAAGCUGGAAGAGCAGAUCAGGUGGUAUCGACAGACAGGAACUGGUAGAGAUAAUUCUUCCAGGUUUUCAUUGAAUGGUGGUGCCAACAUUGAAGCCAUCAUUGCCUCUGAAAAAGAAGUAUGGAACAGAGAAAAAUUGACUCUCCAGAAAUCUUUGAAAAGGGCAGAGGCUGAAGUAUACAAACUGAAAGCUGAACUAAGAAAUGACUCUUUACUUCAAACUCUGAGCCCUGAUUCUGAACAUGUCACUUUAAAGGAAUGUGAAGAUGCCACCUUGGCCCUGCUUGCCCGGAUGGGGGGGCAGCCGGCUUUCACGGAUCUAGAGGUGAUCACCAAUCGCCCAAAGGGCUUCACCAGGUUUCGGUCGGCCGUCAGAGUAUCCAUUGCAAUUUCCAGAAUGAAAUUUUUGGUUCGACGGUGGCAUCGAGUCACAGGUUCUGGUUCCAUCAAUAUUAACAGAGAUGGCUUUGGACUGAAUCAAGGUGCAGAAAAGACUGACUCAUUUUAUCAUUCUUCUGGUGGGCUGGAGUUAUAUGGAGAACCAAGACAUACUACGUAUCGCUCAAGAUCAGAUCUGGACUAUAUUAGGUCCCCUUUACCAUUUCAGAAUAGGUAAGAAUUUGAGAAAACCUGCCUGGAAUUGUUAAAUGUAUUAAUAUUUAACAGAGAAAAAUGGACAUUUUUAGGGCUUUGACUUCUUUG